AUCUUGCCUUAUGUCUUGAUUGACCUUUUCUUGUUAAAACUGACCCAGAGGAUCACAGGUGGCCCAAGGAGGUGGUGCAAUCACUUCACUAGAAAUCUGGGAAAUGCAAAUUAUGACCACAAUGGAAAUACCAUGACACACCCUUCAGACGGGCAAAAAUUAAAAAGUCUGAUAAUGCUAAGUGUUGCUGUGAAUGUGAGCAACAGGCACCCUCAUCUCC